CAGCCAUAUCACAGUGAAACAUUGGUUCUCAUAUGAUUACUGAAGUUAAGCAACAUUGAGCCUAAUCAGUACCUAGAUGGGUGAUUGCUUGGGAAUACCAG